UUAUAACAACGUAAAUGUGAAAUUACAUUAUAACAGAAUAUUAUUAUCUCUAUUCACAGAAUCACACACAUGUAAGGUUUAAUGUACCAGUAAUCAGCCAACCAGCUUAUUUAAUAAAGGAAUGGACACAAAGAGAAAUGUUUCAAUCAAGGACAUUUCUUCUUCAUUUAAGCAUUAUACAAUAAUGCUAUAAACAACAGUAUCUGACUGUCAAAUACAGUUGACCAAUCAGAUUACACAUAUGAAAUUUACUGUAUUCGGACAAGGAACAAAACUGCUUGUGACUGUUAAGUUAUUGUAUUUUUAUGUAUAAAGUAUGUAAAAUAUAAGCUUUCCUAUGGCUCAGUGGAUGAAGCACGGAGCUAACAAUGUCAUGGGUUUGAUCCCAGAGGAUUGCACAUAGUCAGCAAUGUUUAGUACAAUGCAAUGUAAGUCAAAAGCGUCUGCCACAUGCAUAAAUGUACUGUAGCCUAUUAUUAUUUAAAUUUUGUAGAGUUCAUUUAAAUUGAAUCAGCAUCUUAAUAUUGAACUCAUGGGAAAUGUCAUGUAUGAUCUACAUAUGUUGUAGAUUCAGUUGUUUCUCCUCCUGUUGUGAACAUUCUACCUUCAUCCAUGGAAGAUGUGAGCUCCAGUGAAGUGACUGGUGCAGGGGCGGAGUGGGAGUAAAAAGUGGUCCUGGUUUUCUUUAGUAGUAGCGGCCCACAAAUCCAGGCUCGCAACAUAAAAUAACAUAACAACGCACUAAUAACAACAGCACUUUCUGCGUGCUGUUCAUGACCGGCAUCUUUUAGCACUGGGACGGCUCCAAAUCCAGCGUUUUAUCCACCGUAUAUAUAACAUUCAUCACCCAAAUGCAGUUGAACAAAUAAACACAUCAGAACUUCAGGAAUGCAGUGCUCUCUCUCUUGCUCCAGCUGUUUGGCGUGUGCGCCGCUCCUUCUCCUGCUCUCCCUGGUUGUAAGCGUGAGGUGCCCAUUCAUCUGGCUCUCGCAGGUUGACGCAUAAACAUACUAAUCUGGGACAAUUGUCUAAUAAGGGACUAAGAGAACUUUUUACAUAGAAGAAGUUCAUGUAAAAAAACCUUUACAAAACCAAUACGAACACUGGGGUAGUAUAUUGAGCACAUAAAUACAAUGCCAUAUGUCCAACUCAUUUUUUGACAAGUUGACCAUGUCAAGCAUGAGAAGACAGAACGUUUAACAAUGUAAAAAGGUCAGAAUGCAUGAAACACUGUGACACCCCCCCUUUAAAAGUAUUUGUCCUCAGGGGAACGGAGGGUGCGAGAGGUUUAACCAGACGCUGCUCGGUCUCUUGGGGACCUUGGAAAACGACCAACAGGGGCAUUGGGCUGAUAACCUUCCGGCAAUGGUCCAGGCGUAUAACAACAGCAUACACAGCACGACCGGGUAUGCACCGACCUACCUGAUGUUCGGAAGGCAUGUGAGACUAACAGUUGACCUACUGCUGGGGACUGCGGCCGCUGAAGAGGGAGGCGGUGCAACGGAGUGGGUGGCCAGACAUCAUCAACGCCUUCAACUGGCCUACGAACGGGUCUCGGACCGAAUUAAGCAAGCCGCAGCCAAGAACAAAAGGUUGUACGACCGUACGGCUCGAAGUGCGCCGCUACUGCCUGGCGAAAGAGUUCUGGUGCGAGAUAACCGGCGACAAGGAAAGGGAAAACUCAGUGAUCGGUGGGAGCCCCAGCCGUAUGUGGUCCAACGACAGCCGCAUCUCGAUCAACCGGUGUAUGCCAUCCGUCCCGAAGGGAGAGAAGGUCCAGAGCGGGUGCUCCACCGAAACCUGAUGCGCCCUUGUCCGAAUUAUCCUGAACCAACUGUAGAGAGACCUCCGACUGAACCAGCGUGGAUGCCUCCCGUGGUGGGAUGGGCUGUGGCCCCCCGGAGGCUGGAUAUAGGGCCAAGGCCAGAGGAACCUAACUCCCCGCCAAGGCGAUCCCAACGGGAGAACCGGGGGCAACCCCCAGCCAGGUACGGAGACUGGGUGUCCGGAUCCCGUUCUAGGGACUAGAACGGUUUGGCAGGGGGGUGUGUCACGGGGUGACAAAAACCAGAACGGGACUAAGAUCCUGGUGAAUGCAGUUAUUCAGGAUUUUCCAGUAAACAUCCAUUCUAUGCACUGUGAAUCUGUUGCCAUGGCAGCGGGGCUGAUUGCCUGAGUGACAGCAGGUGUGGGGCAAUUACAGAGAACGCUGUGAGAGGGACACACAUUCAGAUGGGGCUUUAAAAACAGAGAGAAAACAGACUGUGGCUGUCCCGUGUGAUGCUGUGUUUGUCAGCGGGCUGUUCUUUUUAUUGAGGCUGGGCUGUGGAGUGGUGAAGAUUGAAGCUGUGGAAGAGAAAGGAAGGACUGAAGGAUUUGUCAGCGAAGACUUGAGGAAUAUCGUCAGCAGUGAGAAAGACGCAAGUGAUGAGUAUUGGAUCCGUUGUUUAUAUACACUAACACUGAAGUGGUGUGGAGAGUUUGGAAAAUGUGUGGCACGAGUGAACUAUUACACCGACUGAAUUGAUGAUCUGUCUCCAACUUCUGUCCUCUCCUUGCCGAAGGUGAUGAUCGCUGCACCGUUCUUCUACUUUCCCGGAGUGAAGUCAAGCCCUGAUCGAGGACGAGAUCCGAUCUGGUGGGAGAAAAGACCGGUGGGUGAGUGCUGGCCCGAAUGCACGGUGUGCGAGUGGAAUUGCAGUGCCUGAAGUGACGAUUCACACGGUUUGUACUGUGAAGUGAAAUUGGUGUGUGGAGAAGUAAUAGAAGUCUGCCGUGCACUCUCCUCCUACAGUCUUCUACCCACUGUCUCUAAAGAAGGGUUUUGAUAAAGCAAACUCCCAACUUCCUGCUUUGAGAAGACCUGGCCCCGUUAAUGCUGAGUGCUUCAUAUAUUAUUGAACUGUUGAAACUGUGCUGUGUCUGUUCCAGUGCUCGGCCGAAGUGAGCGUCCCGCUCAAAGCGCCCUUCCCGCCCGGUGGUCUCCACACGCCCCUAUUGGAAGCCUUUACUCUGUUCAGAAGAGAAGGUAUAUCAGUUGAAAAGCUUCACGUACUGUUGAACCGUUGAGACCUUGCUGUACUGUUCCAGUGCUCAGCUGAAGUGGAGCGUUCCGUCCAAAGUGUCCUUCCCGCCUGGUGGUCUCCACAUGUCCCUAUUGGAAGCCUUUACCCUGUUCAAAAGAAGAGAAGGUAUAUCAGUUGAAAAGCUUCAUGUACUGUUGAACCGUUGAAACUGUGCUGUGUCUGAUCCAGUGCUCAGCCGAAGUGAGCGUUCCGUCCAAAGUGUCCUUCCCGCCUGGUGGUCGCCACAUGUCCCUAUUGGAAGCCUUUACCCUGUUCAGAAGAAGAGAAGGUAUAUCAGUUGAAAAGCUUCACAUACUGUUGAACUGUUGAGACCUUGCUGUACUGUUCCAGUGCUCAGCUGAAGUGGAGCGUCCCGUCCAAAGCGUCCUUCCCGCCUGGUGGUCUCCACACGUCCCUGUUGGAAGCCUUUACCCUGUUCAGAAGAAGAGAGGGGUAUAUCAGUUGAAUGUUCCAUAUACUGUUGGACAGUUAAACCUUGCUGUCUCGUUCUAGUGGCUCGCUUGCCCCCACAUCCGAGUACCUCCCUCCGGAGUAACACCAGUGACUCGCUUCGCCUCCGCAUCUGCAUACUUACCUGGCGGCAAGAAGAUUUUAAUUAGGACUUAUCCAAUUCACCAAUCUUUUAAUUUAAUAAAUAAACUGUAUUAUUUUAUUCCCUUGUCUGUCUGGUCCUUGACACGUUCCUCGAGGUGGUUCCCGGGUUUUUCAGGGGUGGGUGCAGUCUGGCUUGGCCCGCCCCGACCUGUGACAUAUUUUCAAAUGAAGUCCUAUUUCAGUUAUCUAUAGAAAUGUGAAUUAAUGAGAGCAGUUCAAAAGACUUUG